GAUGUGAUCAUCGAAUCUUUAGAACGCACAUUGCGCCCUAUGGUAUUCCAUAGGGCAUGCCUGUUUGAGCGUCAUUUCUCUCUCAAAUCUUCGGAUUUGGUUUUGAGUGAUACUCUUAGUCAGACUAAGCGUUUGCUUGAAAUGUAUUGGCAUGAGUGGUACUAGAUAGUGCUGAACUGUUUCAAUGUAUUAGGUUUAUCCAACUCGUUGACCAGUAUAGUAUUUGUUUAUUACACAGGCUCGGCCUUACAACAACAAACAAAGUUUGACCUCAAAUCAGGUAGGACUACCCGCUGAACUUAAGCUUAUCAAUAAGCGGAGGA
rnacentral:rRNA from 1 species